UACGUAGGGGGCAAGCGUUGUCCGGAUUUACUGGGCGUAAAGCGCGUGUAGGCGGCCAGAUAAGUCCGCUGUGAAAUCUCGAGGCUCAACCUCGAGCUGUCGGUGGAAACUGUCUGGCUAGAGUCCGGAAGAGGAGAAUGGAAUUCCUGGUGUAGCGGUGAAAUGCGCAGAUAUCAGGAAGAACACCCGUGGCGAAGGCGGUUCUCUGGGACGGUUCUGACGCUGAGACGCGAAAGCGUGGGGAGCGAACAGG
rnacentral:rRNA from 1 species